CGGCCGGCGCGGCCGGCGCCCUCAGGCCGUCCGGCGCGGCCGAGCGGGCCGGGGUGGCCCGCGUGGCCGGUUCGACCGGCCCGGCCGG
rnacentral:tRNA from 1 species